rnacentral:misc_RNA from 1 species
CUGCGAGUUCGCGGGAGAGUAGGUUAUUGCCAGGGUUUUUAUUUUUAUACUUUAAACUUUGAUUUUAUUUUUAUGUUUUUUAAAUAUUGGUGUUUUUGAAUGUGUUGUUUAAAUAACAUAAAAAAUAAAAUAUAUAUUGACAUGUAUUAAACAAAGAUAUAUAUUAUUUUAUGUUGUAUAAAUAAAUUGGCAAAAUAGAGAUGGAAGAUAAAAAUAUGGUCAAAGUAAUAAGAGUCUAUGGUGAAUGCCUAGGAA